GGGAUUGCCCUAGUAACGGCGAGUGAAGCGGCAACAGCUCAAAUUUGAAAUCUGGCGUCUUUGGCGUCCGAGUUGUAAUUUGCAGAGGGCGCUUUGGCAUUGGCAGCGGUCCAAGUUCCUUGGAACAGGACGUCACAGAGGGUGAGAAUCCCGUACGUGGUCGCUAGCCUUUACCGUGUAAAGCCCCUUCGACGAGUCGAGUUGUUUGGGAAUGCAGCUCUAAAUGGGAGGUAAAUUUCUUCUAAAGCUAAAUACUGGCCAGAGACCGAUAGCGCACAAGUAGAGUGAUCGAAAGAUGAAAAGCACUUUGGAAAGAGAGUUAAAAAGCACGUGAAAUUGUUGAAAGGGAAGCGCUUGCAGCCAGACUUGCCUGUAGUUGCUCAUCCGGGUUUUUACCCGGUGCACUCUUCUAUAGGCAGGCCAGCAUCAGUUUGGGCGGUUGGAUAAAGGUCUCUGUCAUGUACCUCUCUUCGGGGAGAACUUAUAGGGGAGACGACAUGCAACCAGCCUGGACUGAGGUCCGCGCAUCUGCUAGGAUGCUGGCGUAAUGGCUGUAAGCGGCCCGUCUUGAAACACGGACCAAGGAGUCUAACAUCUAUGCGAGUGUUUGGGUGUCAAGCCCGAACGCGUAAUGAAAGUGAACGGAGGUGGGAACCUUUCGGGGUGCACCAUCGACCGAUCCUGAUGUCUUCGGAUGGAUUUGAGUAAGAGCAUAGCUGUUGGGACCCGAAAGAUGGUGAACUAUGCUUGAAUAGGGUGAAGCCAGAGGAAACUCUGGUGGAGGCUCGCAGCGGUUCUGACGUGCAAAUCGAUCGUCAAAUUUGGGCAUAGGGGCG
rnacentral:rRNA from 1 species